CUGCAGUAGAGGAAAGGCAGUGAGGGGUAGUAGAGAGAGAUAGCUUGGUGCCCCCCGCCCCCAUGGACUGUAAGAAGGGGACUUGUGUACGGUGGGAGCAUAGCUUGUAAAUAAAAGCACCAGAAACCUUUCACAAGGGGAAAAGAACUCAGCAAUUUUGUCUUCAUGUCUGGCCAUUAAAGAAUCCCAGCAGAUGAAGAAGAUGGCUAGAAGAGUGAGUACAAAAAGAGCCAGGGCUCUCUGAAAAUUCAGGACACACGCUGCAAUGACUAUCACCAGAUACCUAGAAGUAAACACAAGCAACCAAAGCAAACAGAACAAAGAAAUAAAUUCCACCAAAGCAGAAAGAAGAGUAAUUCAUACAGGAACAUUGCAUUAGAUCUAUCAAAGCUCCU